GUGCUGUCACCCCAGCACAUAUACUAAAAUUGGAACUAUACAGAGAAGAUUAGCAUGGCCCCUGCACAAGGAUGACACACAAAUGAAUAUUAGCAUUGACCAAAAAAU
ensembl:snRNA U6 U6 spliceosomal RNA